rnacentral:rRNA from 1 species
UACAGAGGGUGCGAGCGUUGUUCGGAUUUACUGGGCGUAAAGGGCGCGUAGGCGGCCCUCCUAGUCGCGUGUGAAAGCCCCGGGCUCAACCUGGGAACGGCGCGCGAAACGGGGGGGCUGGAGUUCGGGAGAGGAGCGUGGAAUUCCCAGUGUAGAGGUGAAAUUCGUAGAUAUUGGGAAGAACACCGGUGGCGAAGGCGGCGACCUGGUCCAUUACUGACGCUGAGGCGCGACAGCGUGGGGAGCAAACAGG